CCCCGCCCCAGCUCCCUGUCCCUGCUAGGCUGCCUUGGGGGGAAGGGCAGGGCGGGGGAGAAGGGCUGGUGGGGGCUGGGGACUUUCUCCAAGUUUUCUUUUUAGCCUUUUUUGAAGGUAGCUAGUGGGGGCUUCUUCGAGGGUUGACAUGACACCCCGCCCCCCAGGUGGCAGGAAGACAGUGCUAAACUCCUAGGAGCCAGGUGUGAGGUUGGAGGCGGCAUUCCUUUGCAUCAAUGUCAGGGAUCCCAGGUUAGACCCAGCCUGGGAUCUCCAGAGGGGAGAAUGCUAAAAAUGCAGAAGGAAGGGGGCGAUCCAAACCCACAGUGCCUCUGAUGCAGACAGCGAGGGGGCAUUCUAGGAGAGCAGCCAGGAGCCCCUCCUGAGACAGAAAAGCCAAGUUGCCCCUGGAGCCUCAGAGAAGGAGCAACAAGUAGUCGCCUCCCCCACCGCCACAUAGCUGUCGGGAGAGUCUGUAUUUGAAAGAGAAAGGCAACUGGGACUCCAGAUGGAAGUACAGCCGGAACUAUAGGUGGGAGCAAAGAAUUAGCCUUUCCGCUGCCUACCUCUUUUUUCCUGAAACUCCACUGGCAGUCAGCUCCUGCUAGCAGCUCCAGGCCCUCUCCUACAGGAAGACUUCCUGGAUUAAUCUGCUAAUCUUCAGCUCAUCCACCUGUUUAAUAGGCAAAACCUACAGAACUAGUCCACACUGAGUGGACCUCUGGGGCUCCCAGCUGCCGAUUGACCUGAACCCCAGAGUGAACUCGUGUUGCUUUGUGGCUUCAGGAAACCUUGGAACAUCUCUGUGCUGUUUUUUCAUUUGUGCUCAAUCAUUCCUGAGGCCUCCUCCUCCUGCUGCAAUUUGACAAGACUUGACCAAAUCAUUAACUCCCAGUUAAUGGGAUAAAAUGAGUUUGAAUCUGGGAUUCUGGUCAUUAACCCCAUGUCACCAUCUGCUCCAGCAGUUUGAUGGCAGGGCUAGGUGAAUUCUAAUCACCCAACACUUGUUAAACUGCUGAUUCCUGCUUCCCCACCUCUGCUGACUCAGCAUCUCUGGGGUGGGGCCUGCAAAGGCUCUCUUCCUUGACGGGGUUAUUGAGGGCAGCUCUAGGAACCCACCCAGGACCAGACCUGAUGAGGAGUUCCUCCUAUGCAUCAGGUAUGCUGGGUCGGUUUGCGGAGUUUCAUAACUUGCAUUUUCCUCUGCCUGGAGAGUUCCUUGCAGCUGGCUUCUUCUGUGUCACGGCCCCACAGAGAUCUUGGCUGGUCUCCCUAUCUCCACCCUCCACCAUGCUCACUAUUCCAUUACAAGUUUCCUUUUCUACCCAGUACUAAUCAUUUUCUGCAAUUCAUCUCAUUUCCUUGUGAACUAUCUGUUGGUCCUACCAGAAUGUAAGUCUCCACCUGGGGGCAGAGACCCUGCCUGGCUUGUUAGAAGCCAUAUCCCCAGGAUUGAAGCAUAUGAGAGAUGCUCAGAAAUACAAGAAUUCAUGAACAAAUGAACACGAGUGAAUUCAUUCAGCUCUGAUGCUGAGGCUCCCUCUCUGAGAUGAAAGAAUGGGGAACCUUCUUCUAAUCCUGGGGAACCUGGGGCCUGUCUACUUCUGUCCCUCUUUCCCCUGCGAAGGAAAAAUAGAAGAAAGAAGCCAUCUCUGUUUGCUUUCUCCCUGUCACUCAAUCUCUGGAGCCAACUGCUUCACAAAUAAAGAGAAGUGCACAGAGAGUCCCUGAAGCCCACCAUCAACAGACAGGCUUUCAACAAAACUGUAUCAGCACCGCCUUGGCCAUAGCUACACUCUACAGAAAAUGGGAGAGAGGAACAGCGCUAGAGAAGUUUGUCCUUGCCUGGUUCCCGGGUGGAACUUCCUCUCCCCCUUGUGUUCUAUGCGUGUGGUUACAGCUGCCUCUGAUCUUUGGUGACCAGCGGUUGGCAGUGGUGGUAUUUCAGCAUACCUUGAUCAUCGUGCUUAUUACACAGCCUCCUUUACCAUCAACCCUACCUACCUUCUUCUAGCCAUGCCCCCCACCUCCUCCCGUCUCUAUCCAUCUCUUCGCUCUUUUAAAAAAUACUUAAGUGUGUACAGAUCACAGUGACUUCAUUUGUGUGCCCAUUCACAUUUGAUGACUUCCAUAACCCCCAUACAAGUAGUUGUGUAUUCGUUUUAAUUCACUUUAUUUAUUUCCUAGCUCUUUCAUAAAAUAAAAUGAAAUAUAAGUAAUGAAAUGGGAAUAAAAAAGAGAAAAAUAGAAUUGAGGGGGAAAAGGAGAAAUGCAUCUAUGUUUGUGAUCACGUUCAUCUUUCUCCAUGCAUCAAUAUGCAUACUAUUAUGAAUUCAUUGCACGUAUUUUAACAUGUAGGCACUACAUGGGGAUGUGGUGUCUACAUACCACCUCUAUAGUGGUAGGCACUGCAAAGGGACAUACAAAAGGUAAAAAGCAUAGUCUCUACUCUCAUAGGACUUUUCAUCUCAUGGAUGUGGCACUCAUAAUGUCUUUUAUCUGUGUCCCACUUGAUGUGAAACUCUUUAGUAGGCAUGAUCCUAUUUGAUUUCCAUAAGCAGAAGAGGGGUCACUGUUUCCAUGUUAUGAGAGAGGAAACUGAGGUUCAGAGAGUGAAAGGACCCUGAUGAGAUAAUGGAACUGGGGCUCAAAUCCUGGUUUCCCGACUCAACAUUUCACAUUCUUUCUACUCUGUCAUUAUUCAUUAGUCAAGUUUCUCCACAGACAACUCACUGAGCCACAACAUAUGAAGCAGCAUGGUAAUGCCACUAGACUGGUCAUGAUCAGAAGAUGUGGCCCCAGGGAAGAGAAAGCAAGAGAGCUGGAGAUAGCAGAGAAAGCACCAAGGAAGGGCUUGGCCGUGCAGCUCUAGCAGGGAGGUCCUUCCUUUCAGCCCCCAAGUGUCCCUCUGUGUCUCAUCUAAAAAGCAAAAAAAGAGGAGAACUAGAGCUUAUGGUUGAAGGCGUGAGAAUGAGGUGUCUUUUCCCUCUAUCUCUGUAAUAUACAAGUAUAAAUACUAUAUAUACAUAUGUAUAUGUGUUCCUUUUUUCUGUGUCUGAUUAUGCAUGCAAUUUAGCAAGGAUUUAUUGCCUAAUUUUGGUCUGGGCACUUUGCUAACGCAAUGGGGGAGGAUACCAAGAAAUUAGGGACUCAGCCUCAUUGUCCCCAGAGACUCCUGGGGGUGGGCAAGGCACGGUGUCUGUGCAUACUGCUGGGGGAGCUCUGGAUUAGGGGACAUCAGGAGACAUGACAUUGAAAUGUCCUACUCAGUUCUCUGUACAGAUUGGAUUUCCGUGGAAGAAAGAAAAUCAACAUGUAUUGGGAGUCAACAUCUCAUUCAGUCCUGUGAGUUUAUUCUGCCUAUUUUUCAGACAAGGAGACUAAGGCUUCAAGACGGUAAGUAAAUUGCCCACAGUGUCACUGCUGGUGUGGGAAUGAGCUUCAGGGUCAUUGAGUCAUGCUGCUGCCCAGGUACCCUGUAAGGCCGUCAAGUGUUGUGGGUAAGGGUUUUGGUGCUGACGUUCAGGUGAUUGUGAGUUUAAAGCCUGG
rnacentral:lncRNA from 1 species